GCCUAACACAUGCAAGUCGAACGAGGUGCCAUCGGGCUUGCUCGAUGGCUACCUAGUGGCGGACGGCUGAGUAACGCGUAGGUGACCUACCCGGAAGUGGGGAAUAACUGCCCGAAAGGGUGGCUAAUACCGCAUACGGUCGACGAUUCGGUUCGUCGUCCAAAGGAGUAAUCCGCUUCCGGCGGGGCCUGCGUCCGAUUAGCUAGUUGGUGGGGUAACGGCUCACCAAGGCGACGAUCGGUAGCUGGUCUGAGAGGAUGAUCAGCCAGACUGGGGCUGAGAACGGCCCAGACUCCUACGGGAGGCAGCAGUAGGGAAUUUUCCACAAUGGGCGAAAGCCUGAUGGAGCAACGCCGCGUGCAGGAGGAAGGCCUUCGGGUUGUAAACUGCUUUUAUGAGUGACGACUUUGACGGUAGCUCAUGAAUAAGGACCUGCUAACUACGUGCCAGCAGCCGCGGUAAU
rnacentral:rRNA from 1 species